rnacentral:rRNA from 1 species
AUGGUUGAGGCGGCAGCUGCAGUGGCGGAGGAGGAGCAUGACGCGGCGGUGCGGGAGUACGACGACGUCCGCGACCGCGGCGGCGUGGAGGAGGUGGAGCGGGAGUGCGAGGUGGGGUCCAGCGGCGGCGGCGGCGGCGGCCAGAUGUGCCUCUUCACGGACCUCCUCGGCGACCCGCUCUGCCGCAUUCGCAACUCGCCGGACUUCCUCAUGCUGGUCGCGGAGACAGCAACCGGCAGCGCCGGCGGCGGCGGCGGCGGCGCCGAGAUAAUCGGCCUCGUCCGCGGCUGCGUCAAGUCCGUCGUCUGCGGCGGCUCCCACUCCAAGGACCCCAUCUACACCAAGGUCGCCUACAUCCUCGGCCUCCGCGUCUCACCCAACCAUCGGAGGAAAGGGGUGGGGAGGAAGCUCGUGGAGAGGAUGGAGCAAUGGUUCCGGCAGAAGGGCGCGGAGUACUCGUACAUGGCGACGGAGCAGGACAACGAGGCGUCCGUGCGCCUCUUCACCUCCCGCUGCGGCUACUCCAAGUUCCGCACGCCGUCCUUGCUCGUGCACCCGGUGUUCCGCCACGCCCUCAAGCCCUCGCGCCGCGCCUCCAUCGUGCGCCUCGAGCCUCGCGACGCCGAGCGCCUCUACCGCUGGCACUUUGCCGCCGUCGAGUUCUUCCCCGCAGACAUCGACGCCGUGCUGUCCAACGCCCUGUCACUCGGCACGUUCCUGGCACUGCCGGCGGGCACGAGUUGGGACGGGGACGUCGAGGCGUUCCUCGCCGCGCCGCCGGCAUCGUGGGCGGUGCUGAGCGUGUGGAACUGCAUGGACGCCUUCCGCCUCGAGGUGCGUGGCGCACCCCGCCUGAUGCGCGCCGCGGCCGGCGCAACGCGGCUGGUGGACCGGGCGGCGCCGUGGCUCCGGAUACCCUCCAUCCCGAACCUCUUCGCGCCGUUCGGGCUCUACUUCCUCUACGGCCUGGGCGGCGCCGGACCGGGGGCGCCGCGGCUGGUGCGCGCGCUGUGCCGGCACGCGCACAACAUGGCCCGACGAGGCGGCUGCGGCGUGGUGGCCACCGAGGUGGCCGCCCUCGAGCCCGUGCGCGCGGGGGUGCCGCACUGGCCGCGGCUCGGCGCCGAGGACCUCUGGUGCAUCAAGCGGCUCGCCGACGGCUACAACCACGGCCUGCUCGGCGACUGGACCAAGGCGCCGCCCGGGCGCUCCAUCUUCGUCGACCGGCCUGCUCCUUCCAGAGCACUCUGCCGUGCCAGUGUUCCCUCCCGAACCUUCUGA